GUAUUAGAUAUUGUUAUUGGCGGCAGGGGCAACCGGGGGCUUUUUUGCUUUCCGUCAUCAGAACGGCCUGUAGGUGACUCUAUGUUAGUGCCUCCAGCUCUUGGAUGCAGAGGGGUAACAGCACCACUGUGUAUUCUGGAGCUGGGACCAGGACUUGUCAUUCUGGGGCUAGGUAUAGGAGAACACUCAGGGCUACAUCUACUGUUUUGCCAAAAUAACUGUCCUGACAUAUCACCACCUAUUGAGUUAUGCCCAGAAUUA
rnacentral:misc_RNA from 1 species